CAGCAAUUAGAUUGUUAUUAUUAUUAUUUUUUAAAUGUGCUGAAUGUAUAAUGUAUGGUGAAUUAUUUCCCUAACAAAAACAAUAUGGAUUUAACACUUGUUUCCAAGUUUCAACUGAUCAGAUAAUGAACUAAUACUUCUCCUUCACUUCCCCCCACUUCUCAAUGGGUCUUGGAUUUGUGUGAUUUCUUCACUCGCCCCUUUCCCCCAAAGCAUUUCCGGCAGCCAUAGGCACAACAUUUAAAGACAAUGAAGACCACUGUCAACACAAUGGCCAGGAGGAAGCCAAUCACAUCCAAGGAGUGGUACUGAUACCAGGUGAGGUCAUGGNGGCGCAGGUGUGGUGCCCCCUUGUGCCUCAUCACGUAUUCCACCCAGAACACAGCCAGGAGCAGACAUAGAGGAAAGGAGGCAGGAAAGGUUGCAGGAGUCAUGUUAAAACUCAGAGCCCAGAGUAAUCCAGUUGCUAUGACUGUAGGAUUUUCUAAUAGUUAGAAACACAAGACCUUCU
ensembl:processed_transcript